rnacentral:lncRNA from 1 species
GGGGAAGAUAAUUCAUAUGGAGCAUCACACCAGCUAUCUCCUGCUCCCUGUCCUGCACUGCAAAGGAGGCCUUUUCAUCCUCUCUACUGCCUCCAAUUUUUCUCACGAGGAAUGUGAGAGGAAAACCUAGAGCUUGUUCCUGAAGCAUGGUGCUAAGUCCAUAUGCAGCAGAUGGAGCUCAUGAGAAAAGAGUUGCUCUUGUGAAGACCAAAGCUUGGUAUCUGCACAGCUUCACAGAAGAUUAUCUGGAUCUGGAGAAGAGGUGGGUGUCUCUGGGAAAGAAGCAGAGAGGCCCACAGACAGAAGGGAUUAGCCUUAUCUCAGAUGAGAUUUUGGACUUGGACUUUUGAAUUAAUCCUUCAAUGACCAUAGUUUAAGAAGAGAUAUCUUGAAAACACGGAAAGAGAAAAGUCAAUACAAUAUUUCCUAAUUUUUUAAGAGGUCAGAGAAGGGAGUUACUGUGUGGCCUGGAGCAGGUGAUUCUGACUACCAAGGGAAAAUUGGAGUACUACUCCACAAUGGAGGGUCUGCAGGAUGGACCCGGCAGCUGGUGCCCUGUGUGAGGAACGCUGCAACGGACUGCGACAGAACCCUCGAAAACGAAGGUGAAGAGACUGUGCAGUCAUGUGACAGACACAUCAAACCAUACCAUGGCGUGGCUAAGACCCAAGCUGGUAUCAAAAAUAAAGGAAACGACGCUGCAGGACCCGCAGCCCCAGACGAUGUGGCUUCCUCCGAUGACACAGGCCCCAGACAUUACCUGGGGGAAGCUGAAGAAGACAACUCAGGAGGCCGAGUGAAUCCUUCUCUGGACACAGACACCAUCACUCCAGAUAAUCUGUUCCUUGCUAUGCUCUCUAUUGUACCUUGCAACUCUCAUAGGGUAUUCACCUUUCUUAUUCUCUCACUUUGCCUGCAACUCAUACCUGCUACAUUCUAUUGGGCCCAUCUUCUAAGAUCUGCCUUUCUUCCAACCUGUUACCUUGGCAGACACCCCCUUCCCAUCCUCUAAUAAUGUAACUGCUUAGCUGGGAGGGGUUGACAUGCCCCCAGUGGGGUUCCUUAAUAAUGGCACACAUUGAACUGAGGUGCCAAGUAACACUACAUAUCUCUCCUUGAUUGGAAAAGAAUAAUAGUGACUAUACUAAUGUUUGACUUAUGUUAUUUACUAAUUCUAGGAUGCAAAGCCGGAACACGAGCUGUAACCGCUGCGCCUGUCAAAUCUGUCACUGCACACAUCUGUACUAUUCAAUCAACAAAACCCGAUGCUAAAAACAGAAAAGGGGGAGACGCGGGAGAUCGGUCAGAGUGGUAGGAGAAGGUAUAGGGAAAGGAACAGACCUUCUGAAAGGCGGGAAGGCUCUGGAUAGCUUCAGGGAUGAAUAAGCUGAAGGCAGCUGUUCUCUUACCCUGAGGCAGAGGGCAAGGGGUAGGUAAGGAAGUAUAGGGGAAUUUGGCAUAAACAGGCUUGUUUACUUACAUUGUCCGGAAACCGACUUUGAUCAUCAGGGCAGGAGACUGCUCCCUGAAAGGGGGAAUAAUAAUGUUAAUUACCCACAGAUUGUGUUGGCUCCAGGCUUUCAUUAUUUUGUCUGUACUGAAUAAAAGCAAGCAGCUCCAGCUGUUCGAGACUGCUCACUCUUCAGCCAUUAGUGCUG